ACAUGAGGAUAUUCCAGGCUAAUCUUGAUAAAGCUAACUGAGUCUUGAUUAGGCUAACAAAAUCUUGAUAAGGCUAGAAGUAGUACAUGUUUAGUACGAAUGGGAUUUAGUAACCAACUUUUACAAGGAUUUUGGGAUAAACAUCCAAAACCCCUUCUGUGAAGUGGAGGUUAGUCUUUUAUCUUCUUAGUCUUGCGAUUAAAGAUUAGGGUCUUCCAAAAUCUGAUUAUAUAUAUAAUAUAUCAAAGUAAUUAGGUUCCACAACAAGAUAAUGCUUUUGACUGUGGUGUAUUUGUUCUCUUAUAUAUGAAACUGUUCGUUGAACAAUCGCCUCCAAGGAUGGAAAACAUAAACUUGAUAAGUGUAACUUACCUCAAUCUCUGUCUUCCUAAAUCCUAAUACGCCAUAUAUCUUUUACUAUUGUAUAAACUUGUGUUUGUCUCAAUUCAUACAAUUCGACAAGAAUUGGUUUGAUAUCAGUGAAGUCGUUACUCUUAGGUAUGAAAUCCAAAAAGAUAUUACCCAUCUAUUCCUUGUUGGUGACUCUCGUGGUGAUCAGAAUUCUUGUCGAGAUAAGGAAGCCUCUAACCAGGAAGAGCUGUAAGAGCAAAAUAGGAGAACAAGACCAUGCUAAUGAGGAGAUUGUUAUACCAAAGACCUCACAUGUUUGGAAGAUGAUAGCCGCAAAGGAGGCUUUCAAAUGAAAGUGAAUCCCGCACUUGAAAGCAUUAAGAACUGAGCUUGAUAUUCUUUGGAAGUGGCUGUGAUAUGUCAUGUUCAACAGUAUGUCGGGUUAACAAAGCAGAUGAACAUUUUCAAAAAGGACGUUUCAAGAACCACACUUAAUAGGUGCAUGGAGAUAUAUAAGAUGCUUCAUGGCGACGAAUUUCAAGUUUAAGAUCAUUAAAAAUGGAUAGAUGGCAUGAUAAAUAUCAAAGAUGAGACAUAAGUUCUUUUAAGGAAACCCAAGUUGAUAGAAAAAGCCACAACAGAUGAAAAUGACAAGAUCGAUGAAGCUAAAACAUAGUAUAAGUAGAUGCUGAAGGAGAUGGAAAGUCUGCAGAAGUACAUGGACUCGAUGAAAAAUAAGGUUGUGGCAUGUGAGAAGAAGAUAAUAGACCUAGAGUUCUAUUUUAAAGGGAUUCUUGUUAAA